rnacentral:rRNA from 1 species
UGAGGAACAUGACCUUCGGCGGGGGAUAGCCGGCCCAACGGCCGGGUAAUACCGCGUACGACCUCUUGGGGACAUCCCCGAUUGGUGAAAGCAGCAGUGCGCCGAAAGAGUGCCUCGCGGCCUAUCAGCUAGUUGGUGGGGUAAUGGCUCACCAAGGCAACGACGGGUAGCUGGUCUGAGAGGAUGGCCAGCCACAUUGGGACUGAGACACGGCCCAGACUCCUACGGGAGG